UAGGAAUAGAUGCGGAAUUGGUAGACGCACCAGAUUUAGGUUCUGGCGCCGCAAGGUGUGAGAGUUCAAGUCUCUCCUUCCGCACCA
rnacentral:tRNA from 1 species